ACGCGGAGGUUUGGAAGGAGUGAAGAAGUGAAGAUGAGUGUGGUUUUGGUUCCGAAAGGUGGAGGCUACGUCAGAUCCACUGCCGCCGGUUUUAAUCGCUGAGAGGCAGAAGUUCCUUCAACUUUGCCGUCGUCGGCUCAAGGUGAAGGCUCCGUCAGCCUUACGUCGCCGGCUUCAGAUUUUCUGAGUUUGUUUUGUUUGUUUCGAGUUUGGGUUAUGGUCAUGGAGAGGAAGAGGUUCUCGGCUUGUGAUCUCUAGGGUUAUGAAGCUUCGCCGUCGGAUGAGCUCUCUUCAGAGGGAUGAUGCUCUCCGUCAACGUUUCAGGAAGGUGAAGAAGAGAUUUGGUUUCGGUGGAGGCUUGAAGGGAUAAUGAGCUCCGGCGAAAC
rnacentral:lncRNA from 1 species